rnacentral:rRNA from 1 species
UAUCCCGAGUGCCAUCCGCUGAGGAAGGCUUUUACCCAGUCUAGAACGCUGGGGGAAUAAGGAGAGGGCAAGUCUGGUGUCAGCCGCCGCGGUAAUACCAGCUCUCCGAGUGGUGUGGAUGUUUAUUGGGCCUAAAGCAUCCGUAGCUGGCUAGGUAAGUCCCUUGUUAAAUCCACCGAAUUAAUCGUUGGAUCGCGGGGGAUACUACUUGGCUAGGGGACGAGAGAGGCAGACGGUAUUUUCGGGGUAGGGGUGAAAUCCUAUAAUCCCGGGAAGACCACCAGUGGCGAAGGCUGUCUGCUAGAACGCGCCCGACGGUGAGGGAUGAAAGCUGGGGGAGCGAACCGGAUUAGAUACCCGGGUAGUCCCAGCUGUAAACGAUGCAGACUAGGUGUUUGGACGGCCACGUGCCGUUCUAGUGCCGCAGGGAAGCUGUUAAGUCUGCCGCCUGGGGAGUACGAUCGCAAGAUUGAAACUUAA